rnacentral:piRNA from 1 species
UAGCAGUCCGACUAGGAGAAAUCCCAAAGGA